UUUGUGAUUUUUUUUUUCAAUUUAGGAUAGCUAGAGAAUCCCACAGGGAUGCCUUUGGCUUGAAUAGAGUGAAAAGUUGGAGGGGGCCAAGACUAGUGCUUUCACAUUGACAAUAAAAUGGACCAAGAGCUGAAAUUGAAGUCAGAAGCUUGGCUUAAUAUGAAAGCGUUACCUAAAGUCAUGGAUUCCAAUUGGAAUUUUCUUGGAAAACUUUUCAUUAGAAACUAAGAUUCUUAUUUGUUUUGAUGGGAGUAAUAGUCCUUUUCAACCUACCUGGGCUGGAGUUGACAGAAAAGAUUAGCAGGAACAUAUUUGUAAAAUAUUUAUUUAAUACUUAUUAUAUCCUCCAGAAGACAGGAGCUUUCCUGACACAAAGGAAGCUAAAGAAUGAUGCGCUCCACCACAAUGAGGGACUAAACAACAAAAAGGAGGCAUGAGAUUCAGGAAGCAAAAAAGGAAUUCAUCAUAUGAAGGAAUGAAGAUGUUCAAAAGAAAACCUUCAACCUCAUGCCAGAAGAUGUUCCCAGCUGUAUAAAUGCCUAACUCAGCUUCUAGUCCUUGGAAAUUAAGCAGCUCAUUGAAAAUUCAAGAGUUCCAGCCAGAAGCUACAGCUAGGCUCAGAUGUUGAAAUCAGUCUCUCCUGCUGAUCAAACUGUGACAUAGCCAAAGCAAUAGGCCUGGCUUUUCAGUUAAUUCUCAGCGAGCCCUUCCUUUCCCUCUGUAGUGGUUGGUGUGGCAUUUAUAAUAUAACUCCUUUAUGUA
ensembl:lncRNA GNAO1-DT GNAO1 divergent transcript